rnacentral:rRNA from 1 species
UACGUAGGGGGCAAGCGUUGUCCGGAAUCAUUGGGCGUAAAGCGCGUGUAGGCGGCCCGGUAAGUCCGCUGUGAAAGUCGGGGGCUCAACCCUCGGAUGCCGGUGGAUACUGUCGGGGCUAGAGUGCGGGAGAGGCGAGUGGAAUUCCGUGGUGAUAGGCGGUGAAAUGCGCAGACUAUCAGGAGGAACACCAAUUGCGAAGGCAGCUCGCUGGAACGUUACUGACGCUGGAGACGGCGAAAGCGUGGGGAGCGAACAGG